rnacentral:tRNA from 1 species
GUCCUCGGUUCGAAACCGGGCGGAAACAGAGCUCUUUGACACGUGCAGUAGGUACUGUACUUUCAACAAAGAAUUGUUAUAUUCAUGAAUUCUGUAUUUUGGAAAUUCGAAUACGUGCCAUGAAUAUCUGUAAAAUUCGGUUUACUCCUCGCAGCUAAAUGUAGCAGCAGUUUCUGUAGUGUAGUGGUUAUCACGUUUGUUCACACGCGAAAGGUCCCUGGUUCGAAACCAGGCGGAAACAACGCUCAUCGACACAUUCAAGAAGUACCAUAGUGUUAACAAAGAAUUUCAUUAUUCUCUUAUUUUGGAAAUUCGAAUACGUGCCAUGAAUAUUUUUAAAAUUCGGUUUACUCCUUGCAGCUAACUGUAGCAGUAGUUUCUGUGGUGUAGUGGUUAUCACGUUUGUUCACACGCGAAAGGUCCCUGGUUCGAAACCGGGCGGAAACAACGCUCAUCGACACAUUCAAAAAGUACCAUAGUGUUAACAAAGAAUUUCAUUAUUCUCUUAUUUUGGAAAUUCGAAUACGUGCCAUGAAUAUUUUUAAAAUUCGGUUUACUCCUUGCAGCUAACUGUAGCAGUAGUUUCUGUGGUGUAGUGGUUAUCACGUUCGCUUCACACGCGAAAGGUCCCUGGUUCGAAACCGGGCGGAAACAACGCUCAUUGACACAUUCUGUAAUACCAUAGUGGUAACAGAAAAUUUCAUGAAUUCUAUAUUUUGGAAAUUCGAAUACGUACCAUGAAUAUUUUUAAAAUUCGGUUUACUCCUUGCAGAAAAAUCAAGCAGCAGUUUCUGUAGUGUAGUGGUUAUCACGUUAGCUUUACACGUGAAAG